rnacentral:rRNA from 1 species
GACAGAGGGUGCAAACGUUGCUCGGAAUUACUGGGCGUAAAGCGCGUGUAGGUGGUUUGGCAAGUCGGACGUGAAAGCCCAGGGCUCAACCCUGGAAGUGCAUUCGAUACUACCAAGCUGGAGUACUGAAGAGGAGAGCGGAAUUCCCGGUGUAGAGGUGAAAUGCGCAGAUAUCGGGAGGAACACCUAUGGCGAAGGCAGCUCGCUGGGACGUUACUGACGCUGAGACGCGAAAGCGUGGGGAGCAAACAGG